rnacentral:lncRNA from 1 species
AAUGAGUUGUUUGCUUCUUCAUUAUCUUUUCGUUUUUCCAUGUUUCUACUUUUCCUUCCCUUCCUUUCAAGUUCUCAAGACCUGAUGCAUAAUAAAAAGUACAUUAAACUUUAUUAGGAUUAAGAAGAUGAAAACAUAAGAAUAUCAAUAAUUUUCAUUGGACAGACAUUUUAAUCGAAAUUAAGAGGUCUUAAGUUGAAGAAAAUAAAGGUGAGUAGUCUAUUGAAUUUUUGAAAGUUUUUGCAUAAUAAACUUGCAACCAUUUUCUUCUUAUCAAGUUCAUUUCAUUAAAUUUUGGCUACUCCUUUUUACUAUUUUCACGCAAAAAGAUUUCCAUCUUGCAAUGGUUUUCGUAUUUGUAAAUAAAAAUAAAAAUUAUUCUUAUUGAGGUUUUGUCAAACAUCAAAUGGUGCAUAAAGAGAAAGUAUAGUAUUUUUAGAUUCGCACAAUUAGUUUCUAACAUGUAUAAUGGACUACAAAACUAAAUCUCCCAUUUAUCAUGUGCAAUCUCUAGUCUAGAAAUCUGAUACUCUAUCCUCUUCAGACCACAUUCUGUUUUCUUUAAUUACCCCUCAUUUUUAGAUUUUAUUAGCAUUACUAUAGUGGGAUUUAAAAAAAAAAAUUAGGAUUUAUCCAUAAACGAGACCAAGUGGUACCAAACCUUUCCAUCUCUCAUAACUUAUAGUAAUAUAUUUUCAUUAGUGAGGGGGAUUUUUCGUCCUCUUAGAAAAAAAAUUUAAAAGAUCUGCUUCUAUUCACUCCGCUCUCUCCAACCCCCUCCCUCUCACCCAGUAAGAAUUCACCCUUACCAGAUGUUAAUACCAAACUAAUACAACUUAUCAUGAGAAAGUAAUAAUUUAAUGAGGUGAAUAUAUACAUUAACUAACUAGGAUUAAGUGAUUAUGUCAUGCAUAUUUGUUGUAAAUAGCCAGUGUGAGUAAGUAUUUAGUCCUCUCUUUCUCCUGCAUUUUGUUUCCCUUUAUAGAUCCAACUAACCUACCAAAUUUCUUUCAUUUUCCUUACAUCACUUUUACUUUUCCAUAAUUUUACUUCAAUAGAGAUGAGAGUAGCAAAUAUGAAACAAACUAUUAGAUGAGUAGACUAACCUUUUUAGUUGAUGAAACUAUAUAUCCUCUGCUUGCUUUGUUAUUAGAUCUAUAGAGCUCAAAAUUCUGGAAAUAAAAGAGGAAUAAUUAAGACAAAAAAUGAUGCAUAGUAUUAUUCCAAAAAGUCAAGAAAGCAAAAGCAUGAAUCAAUUACAGUGGGCAGAUUGUUGUUUAUCAUUUUAGUUUUAAAAAGAUUGUUUAUUCAACUUGUCGUAAUUGGCUAACGAUGAAUUUGAAAGGCCACCACCAACGUACAGAAAGAAGAAUCAAAUUGAUUGACAGUUCAUCCAAUAAUAUUAAAAUCCAAGGAGCAGAGCUGUUGAAAAUGAACAAGUGGUUCAGCAGGGGCGGCUCAAACCCGUUGGUGGCCUAAGGCCAAAAUUAAACUAGAGGCCUUAAUAAAAUUUUAAAAAAUUAAAUAUGUUUAUAUUUUAAAUCUAUUUUUCUAACUUUUUGAGAUGCAAAGUUGUUAAUAUUUUUUGUGUAGUCAUUCUCUUCUAAUAGUUCUUUUUUGAUCGAUAAUAUAGCCAAACCACUUAAUCUUUCUUGAGACAUUAUUGAUCUUAAAUAAGAUUUUAUUCUAAUUGGUCCCUUUUCUACUAAUAAGUCUCUUAACUUUGUAUCAACAAUAUUCCAUUGACUAGGAUCAUAGAUAUUUUUAGGAGUAUUGAUUAUUUAAUUCAUUUAUAAGUUCUUGAUUUUCUUGGGAAUCUACAUCCGACUUUUCAAUAAUUUCCUCUCCUUCUUCUUCUUUUUGGUUUAUAUCAUUAUCUAACUCAACUUCAACUAUAAGUUAGUGAUUUGUUCUUCUAAAGAGCAUUACCCAACCUUUUUGAUUUAAUUUUAACAUUGUUUUCCAAAAAAUUAUCAAAAGCACCUUUCUGAGAUUUUAUCAAGUUAUCGACUUUUCUUUUUCUUUUAAGUUUUGCAUGACCGGGUUCAUAUUUUCUAGUUGACAUAUUAAAAUCUAACAAAUAUAUUAAACACUAUUUACAAUAUCAAAUAAAAUAUAGGGAUAAGGCAUAAGUAACCCCCUAGACUAUGAUCGAAGUCCCAGAAACACACCUAAACUUAACUAAGGUCCUAUUACCCCCCUGAACUUAUUUUUUUCGUAUUUUUGUGCCCCUUUUGUGCUGACGUGGCACCUUCAACCACCCAAGUUGGUUGUGUUUGUACACACUCGCCUGCCAUGAGUGUAAAUUAUUAAUUUUUUAUUUUUUUAAUUAAAAAAUUAAAUUUUUUCUUAAUUUUUUUUUCAAAAAUGAAAAUUUUAAUUUUUAAAAAAUAUUCUUAUUUUCUGUAUCUUGUAUUUAAAUUAAGUUAAUACACAAUUUUUUUAACUUGUAUCAAAACAUUUUUUUAACCUACAUUCAUUGUUUUUUCUCUUUUAUUUUUCUAUUGAUUUUAAUUUCUUUGUCUUUCGUUUUGAUUUGAUUUCAAAUUUAAUUCCAAAUGUCUUGUAUUUAAAAUAAGUUAAUUUUGAACGAAUAUCAAAAUAAGUGAAGAAAAUCAAAUAAAACAUAAAAAAAUUAAAACGUUAAAAUUAAAGGACACUUUUAAUUUUUUUUUUAAAUACACGUAAUUUUUAAAAAAUAAUUAAAAGUGAAAAGAUAAAUUAAUUAAAAAAAAUUAAAGUGAAAAGAAAUUACAAUAAAUAUUUUACAAAGAAAGAAAUAAAAAUAAUUAAAUAUAUACAAGUUUUAAUAUCAAUAAAUAUGUGUACUAACUAAUUAUAAAGUUACCAAUAAAAAAAUAACAUGUGUCCAAUUUGUGCACUCAUCGCUUGCCUUCAAAAGAGUGUGCAGAUCUCUUUGCCAUGUCAGCGCUUGUAGUGUAUUUAUUCCAUUUUAAAUUAGCUUAGGGGGUAAUAGGACUCUAGUUAAUUUUAUGUGUGUCUCUGAGAUUUCGGUCAUAGUCUAGAGGGGUACUUGUGUAUUAUCCCUAAAAAAUAUAAUAAACAUAAGACACAAGACAAAAAUAAUAUUAGCAAUUAGAAUGGUAUUACCGGAUUCAAGAACUAUGAAGACUUGAUUUCCGAAAAUGAAUUGGGCUGCUGCGAUAUAUUUUUCUCCAAAUUUAAAACAUAAACUAUAAUUUUUUUAAAAAUUGAAAUUAUCAAUAGAACAAGUAAAUUCUUAAGUUUUGAAUAAGAGAGAGAUGUAAGAUUAGAAAAGAGAGGAAGAGACAAUGAUAGAAUAUAUAAAAAUAAAAUUAGAAAAAGAAUAAGGUAAAAAAAAAAAAAGAUAGCUUGUACAGUUAAAAGAAGGCAGAAUGACCUGGGAGAUCCUUCUACUUUACUCUGUUUGUCACCUGGACCCUUCUACUCGGCACUUUGCCAACUGAACACUUAAAGUUAUUAAAACAUAUUAUUUUAAACCCCUCUGAUCAUGUGUGUCUCUCAAUCGUGCUGAUAUGGAUAACACCUCACUAUUCACAUCAGAUAUAUAUUGCCACGUCAUUUUUUUUAUUACAAAUAAUAUUUUUAAGGGAAAAUGCACCAACUUAUGUCCGAAAUCUCAGAGACGCACUUAUACUAUACUAAGGUCUCAUUACCCCCAAACUUAUUUUAUAAAUAAUUUUCUACCCCUUUUCGACCUACGUGACAUUAUCAACCAGAUAACUUGAAAAAAUUGUCAACAUGCACUGGGCCUAGAAGAUAAUGACACGUAGGCCGAAAAGGGGAAGAAAGUUAUUUAUAAAAUAAGUUCGGGGGUAAUAGGACCUUAGUAUAGUAUAAGUGUCUCUCUGAGAUUUCGGGCAUAGGUUGGGGUUACUUCUGCAUUUUCCCUAUUUUAAAAUAUAAAUCUCAAACUAAUCUCCAAAAUCCUUUCUUUCUUGAUUUCUUUCCAGUUUUCUUCUCUUGCCAUAUUUUUCAUGUAUUUUGGUACUUAGAUUUUAUGUUAUCAUUCUUUUUUUUUUCUUUCCUAGUGAUUUUUUUUACGUUGAAGAGGAAUUAGCGAUAAACAAAGCUUUGUUAUGUUUUUUAUGAUAAUUUUUGUUAUUUUAAUGGUGGUGAGAAAUAAAGUGUCUAAAAUGGAGGAUGAGAGAAAGAAGAGAAGGAGACCAAAAUGGGUCAUUAUAAAAAAAACUCUUCCAAAAUGCUCUCAAUAAAAUUGUGUUACAUUUAGAAAGAAUCAAAUAUAUGUUUUUCAAAAACCAUCUAAAAUCUGUAUUUAUUUCACAAUUUAGAACAUCUUUUUUUCCCCUCUCUUCUACCAAAAUCUAAAUAAAUUUAUUAUUCCCAAUCAUUGUAGAACUCUCAAAUGAUAGGAAACAUAUGAGAAGAGAAAGAGGAAGAAUUGUGUGUAAGAACAUUAGAAGAAAUCGAAGAAGAUGUGCAUGUGGUGAUGGUGGGUGUUGGGUGAAAUUAUGAGGAAGAAGAAGAAAGUACAACGUAUUGGGAAUGGAGAUUUUUUUAAAAAAAUUUUAAAAUCGUUAAUUUUUCUUUUAAUUUAAAUAUUUGUUAAAAUUUAAAUAAUUGUCUUCACUUGCUUUUAAAUGUGUGUAACCACACUCUUGAUCUGAUUCAGCAAAAAAAGCCACAUAAGUUAGUCAAUGAUCAAAGGGGUUUAAAAUAGUAUGUUUUAAUAAUUGUAAAUGUUCAGUUGAUAAAGUCGUGAGUAGAAGGAUCUAGGGGACAAACAGAAUCAAGUACAAGAGUCUUUCAGCUCAUUCCGCCUUAAAAGAAAGUACGUAUUAUUUUUUAUUGGAAAGAUAAAAAGUAAUAGUCAUAUCAAAUCACCUCAUUUAAUGCCAUUUGGAUUUGGAGUCUUAAUUCUAAUUUAUUUAUUAUUUUAGUUUAAUCCUACCUAUUUGGAUUUGGAGUCUUAAUUCUAAUUAUUAUUAUUAUUUUAGUUUAAUCCUACCUAAUAAACUAAAAAAUGAGGACCCUAAAAUUGGGGGCUAAGGCCAAAGUCUUUUUUUCCAACCCUUUCCAGCCGCCCCCGAGUGGUUGUCAUUUUAUAGUAUAAAGUUCAGUGGAGACUUUCAUCAAACACAUUGUAGACAGUUUUGAACAGCCAAAAAAUCUGAGCAUUUAGUAAGCCAACUAGAAGCAGAGUUGGAAAGAAUCUAGCAAAUUGGUAAAAUAUUGAGGAAAAAAAAAAGAAAAGGAGAAGAACCUGUUCUGGUGCUGCAAUCGCCGAUGUAGACUGAUGAGAAUUUAUCCCUCAAAUUAUGGUGCACGUGAACCCAUGACCUCACCCCUCAAAUUGAUCUAAUAUUAUUUGUUGAUAUAGAGAAGAGUGAAUGGUGAAUUAUAUACCUAGAAACAACGACCAAAUUCCCCCUUAAUACUUUCUUUUUCCUCCUUUCAUUAGCCAUGCAUUCAUAUUCUAGAAGUUCUAGAUUUACUUACGAGGUGUAGACUUUUAUUAGUAGUAAAAGCCUCAAAGCAAAUCAGGCCAAAAGUUAUCUUACUAAUCCCAAUACGAACAAGAAAGAGAAAAAAAAUCAAAUAUGAUACAAAUGCUAUUAUUUGAAAUAAGAAAUAAAAAAUCAAAUAUUAUUGCUUCAAAGUAACUUGAUGAUCUUGCUCUUUGUUUUGCAAAUCAAUUAAAUACAUUGAAUUACACAUGGUCUUGGCAACUUGCCUCACGGAAAAGGAUCUUGGAGGUAUAUCAAAUCUCUUAGAGUCGAUAUGCACCUACACAUCUUGAUUUUACUCUAUCGGGAGUACGUACUCCAUGUAUUGCUUGACGUAAAACUGAUAGUGAAUUCCUCUCGGAUGAUUUAGGUAGAUGUCCAGGAGAUGCAUCCUAGCUGCUCUAGCCACACUUGAAAAUAAUUCCAAACAACAGAUUCUUCAUCCAUGUUCCGAACCUUUGUGCAUUAGAUUUUUAAUGAGACUAUUGUCCGUUGUUUCUCAGCUAUCAGAACAAGAGUGUGAGAUUUAACCAUAAACGUUGUAUAUAUGUAUUCAACAUCAAGACACCAACAUGAUUAGUCCACAUUAUGAAACAGAAGAUAAAUUUAUCCCAAAGGAAAACAAAAGUUCAAGAUGAUCAUUUAUUGAUCAAAGUCACUGAGGCAACACUGCCAAAACAACACAACGAAGGACAGAUAGCAUUUCUCAGUACUAACCAUAUGCAUCAGGCUUCCACUAAACUUUCUACAUUGAGCUUGAAAUCGCCCUCCGGAAUAGUAUGUGCUUGUCACCUUGGAACGGGGAUAGUAGUUCUUUCAGCUUCCCUUAUAUUAUCGCAACAACCAAUAAUGUUAGUACUCAAAUUAAACUUCUUUUUUCUUAAUGGGUAUCCAGCAUCAAUGCCUGAAAAGGAUUUUUAAUAACACUUACAGUUGCACAUGAGUCCAAAUGUUGUGUAGAAGCACCUAUUUGAACAUCUUGAUCAUUAGAUACAGCAGCCUUCAACUCCAAAUGCUUAUUCAUGGCUGAUUCUUGGUGAACUUGAAUUCCACCAUUCUACAUCACAAUUCAAACUCUUUGCACCAGAAUAUCCCACUUCCUGAUGCAUUGAGAUUUUUCAGUAACUUUAUUACCUGAAGAGUUUUCACAUGUGAUGUUGGUAUUCCUUGAAAGAUUUUCAAAAACUUGAAAAAACUGAGAUAUAGGAUAACAUGCACAUGGUAGAGAGGUUGCCAAACCUUUUGCCCAUCAUAUCAGAGAGUCAGCACUCCCAUGUAUGUUUUAAAGAGAGACUUUCAGUUAAAUCCAUCUAACUCACAUAUUUCCGCAGGGUAAGAGAACUCAAGACUUUUCACACAUAAUGCUUAAAACCUACUUAAAUAACGGGAUAUUAUUCCGGCCAAGGAUCUUAAGCUUGUCUCCUCCCCUCAUAUCUUCAACAUAUUCCUUAAUCUUCAUAGAGGAAUCUUCAAGUUGAGGGCUCUCUACAAGUUUGAUAAUUUUCAAUGAACAAAUACCCCCAAAACUAGGCGGAAUCUCCUCAUCUUGCAGCUCACAUGUGCCCUUACUUACUGAACAAGAAGACAUCCAAAGAUAUUCCAUAGUCUCCAACCUUGCAGCAUUGACCAACAGAGCCUUGUCAUCACCGAAGGGGCAGUCUCUGGUCUCCACCUUACAAAGGCUUUCAAAACCAGAGUGGAGGCAUAGAUCACAUUCCCCACAAAAGCUAUGGAGAGACUCUCUAGCUUUUUAGCAUGGGCCCCCAUGUAAUGAAACAUGUGAACCAUAAGGAGGCCAGAAAGGGAAAGUGGCUGCAAUCCCUUGCAGUGAUGGAAGAUGGCCCCAAAACCAGCAUUGAGCUUUUCAGGGGUUAGGUAAUCAGAAGUUUGAGGCUUGAGUAAACACAAACGAAAUCGGAUCAAGUUAGGACGGUUCCUUGCAAUAGCAACCAAGGCAGCAUUUGUCAUUUGGCAGCCGAAGUAUAGAACCGAGUGGACCCAGCUGAGAUAGCAACAAGGCCUCUCUCUGUCAAGGAUACAUUCAGUUCUUGCACAUAAGGAAAUUCCCUAAUUAUGCUCUUCAAGUAAGGUCCUUACAAUAGUUGGCCAUCUCCUCAAGACCGAUAUCUUCAAUAUAAUCUAGCACCUGCAGUCGCAUUCAAAUACGUGAGUCUAUGGUGGACCAGAUGUAUAAACGGAACCCAAAACUUGGAAACAAUAACUUUGGCAGAAAUGAAGUCACGAUUUAAAUGGGAAUCUAGCACCAAGGGAUGCAUGAUUUAACCUACAACAAAGUUGAGAUAGCUCAUCCUGUAUUCACAGAGGAUUUUUAAAACCACUUACUGUUCCAAACGAGGCCAAACCUAUUCGAACAUCUUGAUCAUUAGAUAGAGCAGCCUGAUAAGUGCUUAUGUUCCUAGAUGUUUUGAUGAUCUCCUCGCAAGUGCAGGGACCUGGUCCUCUGCAUAGUAUGAAUACUCGUCCAGUUGUCAAAGUGUUGUACAACUGUAAAAGCUAUCCGUGUCAGGGAGUUGGUGAAGCUGCAGAGUACUUCACCAAUCAGAAGCGACGAGGUUGUUUGUAUGUUGGGUAAUAACUCUUCAUAGUAUAUAUCAAACAACAACCAACAGUAUUCAUCUCAUUCAUUCAAAGAGAGACACUUUCAAGUUUCAAAAACAUCAAGGGACCUGAUAGAAGUGCUUCUAUUGCUUUCUAUACCAGCUGUAAUUUGUUUGCUUGUAAUAGUUCUUCUAUUGUAGGAUUCGUUUUGCGUGUGAAAGAAACGUUUCAAACUUGUGUGAAUCAUUGUAAGAACUAGGUUAAGGGUAACUUAGCUUCUUACUCUAAAGUCUAUAUUAAUCGGCUAGGAUUAGUAUAGUGGCUAUGUUGUAUCUACUCUGGCUCAGCUAAGUGAUAGGAGGUAUUGCUUAGUGUGGAGAUUAGCAGGCUAAUCUCAUUUUGUAAACUGGCUUUUACUUUUGCUUGGUGAAGAUUAGUGAAAGCAGUUUGAAAAGUCCUGGCAAGCCAGGUCGUGGUUUUACUCCCUUGAGCAAGGAGGUUUCCACGUAAAGUCGUUUGUGCAAACUUUACCUUCUGUAUUUAUUUUACCGUCUGUUUUUAUAAUUGUAUUUAUUUUACCGUCCAAAAACUCACUGAUUUCCACACUUGGCCGAAUUUCCAGAUUCUAAAUUUUUUUCCUAAAAAUGACUACUUCCAAUUUCAAGCUUCUUCAUAUUCAUUUUAAAUUGUCGGAUGUUACAAUUUCUUCGGCGAUACCAUUUUGUUGAGGUGUAUCUGGACAAGAGCUUCGGUGUACUACCCCAGUUUUUCUGAAAAACUUCCUAAUUGUUCAUUAAAAAAUUCACGGCCAUUGUCACUCUGAAAAAUCUUGAUUUUCUCAUUGAACUGUGUUUCCACUAUGACAUAGAAAGUCUCAAACACAUUUUUAACCUCAGAUUUGUCCUUCAAUAAAAAAACCCAACUCAAUCUAGUAUGAUCGUCAAUAAAAGUUACAAACCACCGUUUCCCAAACAUUGUUGAAAUUCUAGACAGACCCCAAACAUCACUAUGAAUCAUUGUAAAAGGUUUUGAAGCCUGAUAUCUUUGAGAAGGAAAAGAAGAUCGGUGAUGCUUAGCCAUUUCACAAAAUUCACAUUGGAAUAAGGAUGGAUUUUUAUUUCUAAAUAACUGAGGUAACAAAUGUCUUAAAUAAUAAAAACUUGGAUGUCCAAGCCUAUAGUGCCAAAGCAUGACUUUAUUCAAAACAAAAGUAGAGUUCAAACAAAUAGGAUUCAGCUGUAGUGAGUUGUUCCCGUUGUCAAGAAAAUAAAGACCUCCUGAUUCUCUAGCACUGCCAAUCAUCUUCCCCGAGACCUUUUCCUGAAAUUCACACAAAUCGGAAUAAAAAAUAGCAUGACAAUUAAGAGAACGGGUUAAUUUACUGACAGAAACUAGAUUACAAGAGAGCUUUGGAACAUGAAGAGUAUCAUGAAGUACAAGGGAUGGUGAUAGUUUAAUAGUUCCUUUUCCAGCAAUUGCAGAGAAGGAACCAUCAGCUAUCUUGAUUUUACUGUUCCCUGCACAAGGAGUGUAAGUAGAGAAAAAACGGGAACUUCCAGUCAUGUGGUCACUAGCUCCUGAAUCUAUGAUCCAAGAAUCUAUUUGGUUGGAAUUGAUACUAAGAAAAGCAGACGAUACAGUACCUGUUUCAGCAAAAGAACAGGAAGGAUUAGAAGAAUUUUGUGCAUUUGCACGAAAUUGUGGAGAUUGAAGGAGUUUGUGCAGAAUUUCCAAUUGUUCCCUUGUAAAUGGAGACGUUUCUGGAGAAGGUUGCUGCCCCUGAUCAAAAUAAGUUGUUUGGAGGGCCUGACCAUUUUGAGAUUGAAAGCCACGAUCAUCAACUCCCUUUUUCUUCCAGUUUAGUGGUUUCCCAUGAAUCUUCCAACAUGUUUCACGGGUGUGCCAAUAUUUUUUGCAAUGAUCACACCAUGGCCUUUUGUUUUUGUCCUCUCCAUUCUUCACUAUUACAAGAGUUGAAGAGUCUAUAACAGGUUUUAGUUCAACAUUUAAAUCAGGUUUUAACAUAACUUUCCUCCUAGUUUCCUCUCUCCUAACUUCAGAAAAUGUUUCACGAAGUGAGGGCAGAGGAUUUUUUCCUAGGAUUCAAGACCUGACCUCAUCAAACUCUCGGUUUAAUCCUGCGAAAAAAAGGUACUCUCUCAUUUUCUUCCUUUUUUUUCUCUUUCACACUAUCCACAGAACACUCUCAUUCAUCAUUGUAACACUGGUCUAACUCCUGCCACAAGGACACCAUUUCAUUAUAAUAAGUAGUGACUUCAUUCUCACCCUGCUUAGCUUGCCAUAGUUUAAUUUUUAACUCAAAAAUUUGAGAGGCAUUUUCUACAUCUGAAUAUGUCUCCCUAACGGCUUCCCACACAUCCUUAGCAGUGGGCAAAAAGAGAUAAGAUUUACCUAUGACUGGUUCCAUGGAAUUUAUUAACCAAGUAAUCACGAGUGAAUUCUCUGAUCUACAGGAGUUCAUCUUUGGGUCUCCAACUCCCGGCUUUUUUUGUCUCUCCGGUCAGAUGUCCCAGCUUUCCACGGCCAUCGAUUGCAAGUUUUACGGACUGUGCCCAUUCCAGAUAGUUCUUCUCAUUUAAUCGAUGAGAAGUUAACUGGAAGGGCAUAUGAGAAGCAUUGCCUCCUUCUGUCAUCAGAUUUUCUGCAGGAGCUUCCAGAGAAGAACUUUUGUCUUCUGUUGAUGUUUCAGAAAGAUGCUCUCCGUGAAAGGCUGUUUUACCCAUAUGACAUUAGGGGGAAAAGUCCCGCUUUGAUACCAUGAAAGUUUAGAUACUGGAAAAGUAUAUUUUAUUCAUAGUGUUUCUACAGUAUUUAUAAGAGAACAAGUAAAGACCAAAUAAACUAAUCAAUCCCUAAUUCUUAGGAAAUCCUUGAAUCAAGGGAUUUCCUCUAAACUAUUUUCCUAGAAUAAUAUAUUCUAAUCCCAUAUUCACAGGAGCAGAUUCUAAUCAAAUCUGCCAGCUUUAUUUGUGGAGCAGAUUAUAAUCAAAUCUGCCAGCUCAAUGGUGGAGCAGAUUAUGACUAAAUCUGCCUACUCAUUCAACAAUUUUCUUAUCCAUCAUAGCAGAGGGUUGAACAAUAGCAAUACUUGUUCACUACAACAGAAUAAAAGAACAAGGAGGGAAACAGCAAUAAAAUGUCUGAGGUGUUCUCAAGCACGGGAAAGGAUUCCUCUCCAAAAUAUUGAUAUUCUCAAUGGUCUCUUCCUCCCCCCCCCCCCCACCCCGCCCCNNNNNNNNCCCCACUUCCCCUGAAUGAUUGUUUUCUCAAGGGACAACCAUUCAAGGUUGAAGGUCAAAGUCACUGAGCAAUAACAUACGUACACAAUAACUUUCAUAUAGAACCUUUUUUUUGUUUCCCAUCCUAGCAGAGAGUUGAACAAAGCAAUACUUAUUCACGUGAUACUUAUUGACACUUCCAAAACAGCACAACAAAGGACAGAUAGCAUUUCUCAGAACACUAAUCAUAUGCAUCAGGCUUCUACUAUACUUCUACAUUGAUCUUGAAAUCGCCCUCCACAUAGUAUGUGCUUGUCACCUUAGAGUUGGAACCACCAUCUGGUGACUUCUCAAACUUCACCUCAUUAAGUUAUUUUUUUGAGUUUUUCUACCAAAGCUCAUAUAUCCUAUACUUAAUGGACUUAAAGUUGCCACCUUCAGAAAAGAAGCCACGGUUAGAAGAAUAUUAGUGAUUAAAAUGAGAGUCUAUCCAAAAUUAAAAAAGAAUUAACUAGGAUGAAGAAUGUUGUAUAGAAGAACCUAUUUGAACAUCUUGAUCAUAACAUACAGCAGCCUUCCACUCUCAAAUGUUUAUCGAUGGCUGAUUCUUGGUGCACGUGAAUUCCACCAUGCUGCAACACAAUUCAAACUCUUUGCUGCAUUGGAAUUUCUGGGUAACUUUAUUACCUGAGAGUUUUCACAUGUUUGUGAUGAUGGUAUUUCUUAAAAGAUUUACAAAAAACUUGAAAAAAUUGAGGUAUAGGAUAACUUGCAUAUGGUACAGAGGUGCCCAACCUUUUGUUUGACUUUAAAUUGAUAGUAUUUCUUAAAAGUAUGUUCUCUUUAAAACAAAUGCUUGCCAUUUGACUCGAAAGUGUUUAGUAGUAGAAACACUUCAUUAUGUGAAUGGGUUGGUUGAUGUAUUCAACCUUUUCUUUAACCAACAUAAAAGGUUAUUAUAUCAUAUUAUGCAAUAUUUCAACUAGCAAAUGGAUAUGUUGAUUUGAAUUUUGAAAGCUCUAUGUCGACACUUUUGUUGGAAAAAUUUAGUACUGUUAAACUCUUCAAAUAUAUUACUCAAAUAUUUCUACUUAGUAUUCACAAAUAGAACAGCAAACACAUUGUAGACAUCUUUUAAUAUUUGCCACUACAGGAAUGGAGAAGAACCUGUUCACACAUAAUGCUUAAGAGCUACUUAAAUAAUGAUUUGAAGCUCCUCCCCUCCCCUCAUAUCUUCAGCAUAUUCCUUAAUCUUCAUAGCGGAAUCUUCAAGUUGAGGACUCUCUACAAAUUUGAUAAUUUUCAAUGCAUAAAUAUCCCCAAAACUAGGUGGAAUCUCCUCAAGCUUACAACAUCCCUGCAGAGUUGAGGACUCUCUACAAAUUUGAUAAUUUUCAAUGCAUAAAUAUCCCACGGGAAAGGAUUCCUCUCCUCAAGCUUACAACAUCCCUGCAAUUUUAAUUUCUCAAGCACGGGAAAGGAUUCCUCUCCUCAAGCUUACAACAUCCGUCAUGGUGGCAUCCUAUAUAAAACUUGAGCAUUCUCUAAAGAUAGUAUUCUCCUUCUAUAUCUCCUACAAUAAUUGGGACACAGGCAAAGCAAAGUAACUCAACAUAUAUUUAGUAUGAUAUUCUACAACACUGGAUGUCCUGUUGAAAUGUAUGCGUCCACUAUCAGUCAACGGACCAGGUCCCUUGACUCAACAAGUACAGUAACUGAAGUAAAAGUGCGGAAAAUAAAUGGCACAACGUAAAUCAGGCACAAUGAUGUUUACGUGGAAACCUCCUUGCUCAAAGGAGUAAAACCACAUGUCACACAGGAUUUUCAACUGUUUUCACUAAUCUUCUCGAGAAAAAGUGAAACACAGAUUACAACUACCAAUGAGAUUAAACUCUUAAACUCAACACUAAGUAAUACGCCUAUUACUUACUGAGCCUAAGCAAUACUCUUAUUGCCCACUAAAUCAACUAACUCUAGUUGAUCUAGACUUUAAGAACCCCACAAGGCUAACUCUAGCCACCAACUCUAAUCUCCGAGAUAAGAGCUAAACAAGCAACAACUCUGCUGCACCACACAUCAACUACCUCUAGUUGACACUCUUAGGUAACUCUACCCAAGACAACAUCAAAACAAUGAUGUAAAAAGACUUGACCAAAACUUAGAUGAUUCGACUAACUAACUCUAGUUAACACGACUCAAACUAAUUAUUUAGACAAGCAACUGAUCUACUAUCCUUUAUAACUUAGGAGUAGAUUUACAAUGUAAUCACAUAAGACACAAAGCUCAAAAUACAAUAAAGACUCUUCUUCACUCUAUCAGGUCUCUUUGUUGAGUUGAGCAGUGUUCUUCCUUGAAGAUGGCCUUCUCUUUGUAAGCUUAAGAAUAUUAUUUGCCAAAUCUUGAGUUUGUGUUUUGUGAGAAGAGACUAUAUCAAAUGAACACAAACUCUUUGAGACAGGCCCAUUGGCUGAGAGUCUGCUUCUCUAAAAGGACGUGCACCAACCACAUCAGAGGUGGAAGCUUUUCUGACAAUUGUCUUGUCGUCCUUUUCACACAUGCAGUCUUGUAGGGACCAUGUCCCUUGCAAUGUUCUUUGUGAGUUCUUGAGAAGAUUUGCUAACUCUCUUUCUCUUUUGAAUGAAUGAAUCUUCUUGUUGUUUGUCAUUUUGAUUAUAUCGACCAAAAAGAAUUAUUGUCCAUUGGACAAACAACCUCGUCUGUUUCUAUUGGUGAAAUACGCUGACGACUUCACCAACCCACUGACAGGACAACUUUACAGCUGUACACCAUUAUAAAUCUGGAAAAGAGAACUCUGCCAGGGACUGGGUCCUGCAUUUGUGAGCCACUGAACAGACAGUCUCGUCCUCUCUUCUUAUUGGUACAGUACACUGCAUUUUUCACCUACCACCUGACAUGACAACUUUACAGUUGUACCCUAUUUGAAUCUGGAUAAGAGCACUUUGUCAGGGACCUGCAUUUGUGAGGAUUAUCAAAACACCUAGAAUAUAACAUUUUCCCCCUUUUUGAUGAUGACACACAAAUAUUCCUCACACUGAGUUUAUUCAUUCAUUUUCCCUGUCGUCAGUCCCAAUAACAAGGAUCUGGUUCCUUAUUAGAUCUAUAAGUUUAUUAAAUCAUCAAAACUUAACAUCAGCUCCAAAAUAAUAUUUUCCCCCUUUUUGAUGAUAACAAACUUAUUUACCUUCUUCCCCCUUUCACCAGUUCCCCGUAUCAACAUGACUCUUCAGGUAACUGGAUUGGUCCCCUUAUUUUCAUCAUCCCCGAAGUUUGUCAAAUCAUCAAAACUUCACAUCAGCAACAAAAUAGCAUUUCCCCCCUUUUUGAUGAUGACAACCUUGUUCAACUUUUUCCUUCUAUCGGCAUGACCAUGUCCUCUUCAAGUAGCUAGCAUUGAUUUCCCCUAUCGGCAUGACCAUGUCUUCUUCAAGUAGCUAACAUCAUUGAUCUCAUACCUUAACAUGUCCAUUAGUAGAUAAUGUGCCUAGUUAAAACCUUACUAGAAAAAUCCCGUGGGAAAAAAGUGAUCUCUCUAAAUUGCUUUGGCUGCUUGUUGUUUUACUAACCUCGUCUGCCAUUAUUAAAAUAUUCAUGGGAUAACACAAGCGAAAAAUUGAUAAAAUCGCCUAAUUCUUGUUAAAUGACCUCUAAAUGACAAAAAUAUGUCAUGGAUCAUGGUGAGUCUAUACGUACUGUUCCCCCAACUCAUUAUGGAGGGUCAUGAAAAGAUUUUUCAAUUGAUAUUCUUCUUUUCCACUUGUUCUUUCUUCCACCAUCUCCUCCAAAACCCAAAAUAUACACCCUGUCAUAUGCAGUAGCUUUACUAAACAAAUACUACAUCCGAACACCCCGUAGUUGGAAAAUUAAUUGAUGGUGGCGAUUGAUAAUUACGGUGGAUGAUAAUGAAAUUUAACGGUGGUGGUGAUGACUAAAAACAAAGAGAUUGGCCAUAGAUUAUGACAUAUUGAUGAUGGUGAUUGUCAAGUAGUACAACUAAUAUGCCUCUUGUUAUAAAAGUGACUCAGAUAUAUCCUUAUCGUUAUAAAAGUUGCUCAUAUAGUUAUGUAACAGUAGGAGUAUUUUAUGUGAGCCACUUUAUAACAAGGGUAUAUUAUCAUUAAAUCGCAAAGUUGAGGGGUAUAUUAGACCCUUUCCUCUUUUUUAAAUCCAAACACCUUCAAUGUUAACCAAAUAGUUACUCUUACAAACAAUUCCUUUACAAGCAUAUAAAACAUCAAUUUACUAUUGCAAGGAACCGUCCUAACAUGAUCCGAUUUCGUUUGUGUAUUAUCGAGCCUCAAACUCCUGAUUACUUGACCCUUGAACCACUUGAUGCUGGUUUUGGGGCCAUUGUGCAACACUGCAAGGAAUUACAACAACUUUCCCUUUCUGGCCUCCUUACAUAUCGUGUUUGAGUACAUCGGGGUCCAUGCUAACAAGUUAGAGAUGCUUUCCUUAGCUUUUGCGGGGGAUAGAGACUGCCCCUUUGGCAAUGAGGCUCUGUUGGAUAAUGCUGCAAAGCUGGAGACAAUGCGAUCCCUUUGGAUUUCUAAUUGGUCAGUAAGUUUUGAAGCAUGUAAGCUGUUAGCCCAGAAGUUGCCAGGGCUUAAUGUUGAAGUUAUAGACGAGAGGGGUCCUCCGGAUACGAGACCAGAAAGUUGCCCUGUUGAGAAACUUUAUAUAUACAGGACAGUGUCAGGAAGGAGGUUUGACACUCCUGGUUUUGUUUGGAUUAUUGAUGAAGAUCAGCAUUGACUCCAUAUAGCAACGGUUAUUGCUCUCUGGCUUCUUCUUAGGAAGACUUCAAGUAUUGGUUCUAUGUUAAUCUUUCACCCGCGUUUACUUGCUUGAGCCUUGUGUAGUUGCAGUGCUGGUUAUGGUGGCAGUGAAGCUCGUGUGCCAUCGAUUUGACCCUUUGUUGAGCGACUUCGCAACAAUUAAUUACAAAUAAUGAGUUUAAACUCUUGUUGUUGUGCUAUAUCAGUAAGGACAACUACUGUAUUUUUGGGUGGGAGGGAGGCAUGUUCAACUGUGUAUGUAUCAGUUUUACUUUCUCUAGUGACUUGUUAUUCUGUUGAAAUGGUGCUGUCAAUGUACUUCUGUUCAUGUAUUGUUGUAAUUCUCUUUGAAGAUUAAUGUGAACCUUUCAUUCAUUUUGAGUGCUGGAAAUCCCAUUUGUUGAACGUUUAGAAAAAGGUAUUUCAGUGUUCUACUACGAGUCAGUUUGAUAAACAAACACUUAUUUUCGUUCAGAGUGGAAUUUCAACCUAAGUUGUUCGACUGUUCGAGGAGAGGAAGUCAUGAGUGCUUAUUAGUUCUCUACAACCUCUUCACUUCACUUUUCUUUGAAAGUUCGUUGGGUUUGUGACAGAGUAGUAUCAACGUCGUUUUAAAUCAGUACCUUGAUUGAGGUUGAACGAUCGUGCUUUGAGCACAUAAGAUGGGACUUCAGACCAAGUUAGACACAAAGGAGGUUUGGACAGCCAAAGGCAAAUCCGCAGUGUAAUCUAUGAAUUCAUGUGAAUCCCUCAACUUUUGUCAAAAUCCUAUACAUAUGUGUAUUAAGUUAUCUGCUUAAUAAUCAUAAAUAUGUGAUUGUGAAUCUAAUUAUUAUUGAUGUUAACGUGAGGUUGCCAUAGAAACUUGUAAACGUCAAAUCCUGGAUUUGUCUCCGCAGACGGCUUAUAAGCAGUCUACAAGAAAAUAAUUGUGUGAAUACAAAGAAAAAAAUAAGGCCAAACACAUAUACAACCCCUCUAACUUGUCCACAUUUUUCAUUUUGACACUUUAUCUUAGCCUUGUUCCAUUUUAACCCUUAAACUCCAUUUUUUAUGUACCAUUUUAACACGAAAUACUAUUUUUAUGAUUUCUUUAUUUUAUAUAUAUUCUUCAAUUGCAACUUCUUAUUUUAAAUCGACAUGUGUCAGUUAAUUUUAGUUUAAAAAUUAAAAAUUAACAAAAAAUAAUUCUUUUAAAAAAAUGAUAAUUUCUUUUUAAGAGUGUUAUGUAUUUUUGUGUGAAAAAUAACCGACGAAAUUGUGUUGAUUUUCUUUCUUUAAAAUCANNNNNNNNNNNNNNNNNNNNNNNNNNNNNNNNNNNNNNNNNNNNNNNNNNNNNNNNNNNNNNNNNNNNNNNNNNNNNNNNNNNNNNNNNNNNNNNNNNNNNNNNNNNNNNNNNNNNNNNNNNNNNNNNNNNNNNNNNNNNNNNNNNNNNNNNNNNNNNNNNNNNNNNNNNNNNNNNNNNNNNNNNNNNNNNNNNNNNNNNNNNNNNNNNNNNNNNNNNNNNNNNNNNNNNNNNNNNNNNNNNNNNNNNNNNNNNNNNNNNNNNNNNNNNNNNNNNNNNNNNNNNNNNNNNNNNNNNNNNNNNNNNNNNNNNNNNNNNNNNNNNNNNAAAUCUCAAAAAAUAAUAUUAUUGUUUGAAAUUUUUUAUGUUCGUUCGCAAAUGUUUAAUUUUUUUACGAAAAUUAACAGGCACAUGUCUAUUUUUUUAAAAUAAGAAAUUGCAAUUAAAUAACAUAAAUAAAAACAAAUCAUAAAAAUUAGCAUAAGUGUUUAAAUGGUACAGAAAAAAUGGAGUUUUAAGGGUUAAAGUGGAACAAGGCUAAGUUGGAGUGCCAAAUGAAAAAUGAGGACAAGUUUGAGGGGUUGUGUAUGUGUUUGGCCAAAAAAUAAAGAGAGAAUGAGAAUGGAAAACAUACAUAGCAUAGAAUAAGAGAUACCUAGUGGCAGAAAGUAACAAAACUCUGCUAUUGUUAGAAAAGCAAAAGCAUAAAUCAAUGUAAAAUCCCACAAAAAUGUUUUCUGAAUUAAAUUUCUUUUUCUUAGAAACAGGAGGAAAUAGGCACCAAUUUCUAAAAUCCCACAAAAAUGUUACAUAAAAACUGUAACAGAUUUUUCUUUAUCAUAUACAAUAUCACCCAGCAAAGUACAAUCUACUUUUCAACCAUAAUGCUACUUAAAUAACGGGAUAUUAUUCCGGCCAAGGAUCUGAAGCUCAUCCCCUCCCCUCAUAUCUUCAGCAUAUUCCUUAAUCUUCAUAGCGGAAUCUUCAAGUUUAGGGCUGUCUACAAGUGUGAUAAUUUUCAAUGAAUAAAUAUCCCCAAAACUAGGCGGAAUCUUUUCAAGAUCACAACAUCCCUCCAGUUUCAAUUUCUCAAGUGUAGGAAAGGAUUCCUCUCCAACCUCCCACCUAGCAAGAGUCACUUGAUGCAACUCCAAAUAUUUGAGAUUCUCAAAGGUGUCUUCCUCCCCCAUGUUCCAUUCUUCCCCCCAUAUGAUUGUAAAAUAAAGGAACAACUCUUCAAGGUUGGGCAGUCUCGCUAUUGUUGAUAGUGAAUUGAAUGUCAGAGGAAACUCAUCCAACAACAAUAUUUUCAAAUUCGAAGGGAAGUGAAAAUCCCAUUGCCGAUUUAUGGCUGCAGGGGACCCACUGUCAUUUAUGUUUGACCUUGCAAAAUACCAGUGAGUUCUUCUAGUUCAGUUAGGAAAUCCAAUUUCGGGAACCAAUGUUGCUCUGCUGAAUAAUCCCAUGAUUCCUUGAGAUCAAACUUAAGCACUUGAAGAUUGGGAAGCCUUUUGAAAAUAUCCUCUGUAUCUUUUGAAUAGGAAAGCAUGGGUUUCCCUAAUAUUCUCAAGUUCUCUAACUUUGUGUCCUCUACUAUCAGUAUUGAUUCAUCUGCAUCCAAAUCAAAGAAAGAACAAGCACUCACGGACAGACCUUGCAACUUUACAAGAUCACCAAUUCUUGGUAAUAGUACCAAGGUUGAUCCUUCGUUAAACACCAACAAGAUUUCUAGAUUCCAGAGGUUUGAGAAAGACAAAGGCAGAUAUUUAACUUGUGUCCCAAUGCUUAAGUACCUCAAAUGAUUCAACAUGCAUAUUUCAUUCAGCAAAGAAUCUUCCACCGUGAUAAAAGAGGUAUGCAGUUCCAAGGCUCUAAGAAGCCUCAAGUGUCUUAGAUGAAAUGUAUCAGAAACACUAUCGGCCAGCUUGUCUCCAUCUAUGGUCAAAGAAUAGAGGUGUUUACGAGAAUGCCUUUUCUUAUUUGAAUCAAACAGGACAAAAUUGUUAAUCCCCAAUAACUCGCUGUUAUAAUGAAUGGCCAUUAUACGUGGCAUCAAAUCUGAAGAAGAAGAUGGUGUACUUGAACUUAUAUGGUCAAACAACUUUUCCUCUCUUGCUUUUAUCAAACAAAAUUCAUGCACAAGAUCAUGAAGUUGGUAAGUCGGGUCAUCACCUAUCUCAUUGAAAGCAAUUACCAAGCUACUGGAAAUUAAGUUAUCCAAAUAAACCUUCAUCACUUCUUUCACACUCUUCAUCUCUGUCUGUUCCACAAGUCCUUCAGCAUGCCAUAAACCAUUCAACACAAAGAUUAAGAUUGCAGUGUCCUUCGGAAAGCUUGCAAGGUAAAGAAAGCAUGGCUUGAUGUGAUGUGGCAAAUGGUCAUAGCUUAAUUCUAUAAGCUUCAUCACUUUCACUUCACCGUUCGUAAAAAAGGAACUCAAAUUAUUUCGAACUUCAAGCCACACUGUCUUUUUCUUUUCCAAACCUGCAAUGACUCCAGCAAUCAGAUCAGCCACCAAAGGAAGCCCUUUACAAUUUUCGGCUAUUUCUUUACCAACAUCCAAUAGUUCAUCAGGGCAACUCUCGUUUCCAUAUGCCCUUUUCUCUAAUAACUCCCAACUUUCUUCUGAUCUUAGCAAUCGAAGGUUAAGAGGAGCAGUGUAGAGCUUUUCCAUGCAAAGCCACUUUCCUUUUGUCGAGUUGUCAAAAUAAUUCUACUUCCUUUCUUAGCUUCAGGAAAAGGUCUUGUCAACUCAUCCCAUGUAGUAGUAUCCCACACGUCAUCUAAGACAAUAAGAUACCUCUUUCCAUAUAGUUGUUUUCGUAGCUUAUCAGCAACAUCAAUAUUCUCACUCAAUUUUGAAUAUGAGUCACUUACUUGAUUGAAAAUUUUAUCCAACAACUUCUUCUCCUCAUAUCCUUGGUCGACCGUGCACCAUGCACAAAGGUCGAAAUGGCUAGAAACGGAUUUAUCAUUGUAUACUUUGUAUGCUAAAGUAGUUUUACCUGAACCCGGCAUACCAGUGAUCGAAAUGACAUCUAGAUCUGCCGGUCCACUGGUGAGCUUUCUAAGUAUCAAGUUUGUCUCCUCCUCAAAACCUACAAUUAUUUUAUCAGUUGUCAAUGACUUUCUCUCAACUGGUUUCUUGGGAGAGUUCACAACGAUGAGACCUCUGUUCUUGGAAAUGUUCUCAUGUAAAUCAGAGACCUCUUCUUUGAUAAGCUUCAUCUUCUUUAUGGUAAUGGGAAGUGAGAAAAUAAGAUGUAAGAGACCAUUAUCUCUAACAAUAAUUGAAUCAAUGACAUCUUUUACCUCAUAUGCCACAUCUAAACCACGUGCCCAAAGAUCUUUAUACAUUUCUUGUUCAACAUUCACCAAGAACGAUCUUAUGAAUUCUAGGUCUUGUUUCACCAGCUCAAUUUCUUUCCUUAUCCAAGCAAUUGAAUAAGCAUUGGAAUCCAGUAAAUCAUUCAAAUGUAUGUGUAGUAGAUGCAUGAAGAGCGGUCCAUCACUCAUGGGGAAGCAACAUUGAGAUGAAUCCGGGACUUUCAGAUAAACAUGUUUGAGAUCUUCCUUGAGGAGAUCAAUAUUUUCCAGCAACUUUAGGGUUGCACGAUUUGUCUCAUCGGUACUCUCUUUAUUCCUUAAUUUCUCUUCUAAGUCGCGAACAAGAGUUGAUACCUCCUUGAUAAGUGCUCCAACAAGUGCCAAUAGAUCAAAUAAUUUGUCAUGAUGAAUAAAGUCCUUGGGCAUAUCAGAAAGAAUAAUUAAUAGGAACUCAAUCAUGACAUGAAUGUUUCGAGCCCCUAAAGUGCUAGGGGUAAUAACAGUUACCAUGUGCUCCUGUAGAUGAAUAAGAUAUUCCCGAAGAAUAUCCGGAGAGGUUUCCAGGAGCUGCUUAAUGAAGAGUCCAAUUUCUACUGAAGUUGAAGCUUUCAAAUUUGUAUAACACCCGAUUUCUUUGCCAUCAUCAUCCAAAAUUGGUUGAAGCAGAUUCUCAACCUCUUGUCUUUUUCUAGUCAUUAUAUCUUCAAACUGCUCCAAAUCGGAAUAAGAAAGCUGGACAUAUGUACAAAUAAAUGUCAGCUUCAAUUUCAGGCUUUCAAUUAGAUCCACAUCAACAGCCUUUUGAUCUUCUUCAUCCUUUAAUCUCUCCAUGAAAUCCAGAACAUUGGCAACGUCCUUGCGAAGAGCAGAAAAUGACACCUGCCAAAAUAAUACAUAUCAAAAUUUUAAAGCCAUAUAGCUACAAUUCAACACUUUACAGUUCACUCUAUCAAAUAACAUACCAAUGAGUUAUUUGCUUCUUCAUUAUCUUUUCGUUUUUCCAUGAUUCUACUUUUCCUUUCCAAGUUCUCAAGACCUGAUGCGUAAAAGUACAUAAAACUUUAUCAGGAGAAAGAAGAUGAAAUGACAAGAAUAAUCAAUAAUUUCACUAUUUUCACACGAACUUAAGAGGAAGACUUAAUUAGUGGAAGAUGAUAAAGGUACACUUGCGAUUUGAAUUGAAGAAAAUGACUUGUAAAAAUGGAGUUCAUCCAGAAACGAGACCAACUGGUACCGAACCUUUCUAUCUCUAAUAGCGUAUAGUAAUAUAUUUUCAUUAGUGAGGGGAAUCUUUUGUCAUCUUAGAAAAAAUCUAAAAGAUCUGCUUCUAUUCACUCCGCACUCUCCAACCCCCUCCCUCUCACCCGGUAAGAAUUCACCCGCACUGGAUAUUAAUACCAAACUAAUACAACUUAUCAUGGGUAAGUAAUAAUUUAAUGAGGUGAAAGUAUACAUUAACUAACCACAAUUAAGUGAUAAUGUUGUGCAUCUAUUGAUUUGUUGUAAAUCGGUGGUGUGAGUAAGUAUUUAGCCCUCUCUCUUUCUCCUGCAUUUUGUUUACCUCUCUCUUUGUGCGAUCCAACUAACCUACCAAAGUUCUUUCAUUUUUCUUACAUCACUUUUACUUUUCCAGAAUUUUACUUCAAUAGAGAUAAGAGUAGCAAAUACUAGAUGAGUUGACUAACCUUUUUAGUUGAUGAAACUAUAUAUCCUCUGCUUGCUUUGUUAUUAGAUCUGUAGAGCUCAAAAUUCAGGAAAUAAACAGAGGAAUAAUUAAGACCAAUUAUGAUGCAUAGUAUUAUUCCAAAAAAGUAAGAAAGCAAAAGCAUGAUUGAAUUACAAUGGGGACUCACUUGUCUGCCACAAAGGAAAAAGAUAAGAAAAUUAAUCAAACUUUCAAUAUUCUGCUCACUUUAUAUCACUUCCUCUGUUUUAUUUUAUUUGACACUAUUUUGUUUGUUGGACAUUCUAAUAAUUUCUUAGGUAAAGGUUCUUAUAUUGCAUGUUUCAAAAAACAUAAAGAAGCAACCAUGCUAGAAGCAAAAUCCAAUAUGCUAUAAUUAAUGGUCAUUUGGUAGUUGUAUAAAACAAGUUUUAUCCAUGUAUUAGAGUCCGUAUGACUUAUACGACGUUUGGUAGGUGGAAAAGAAAAAAGUUAUUCAUGUAUAUAAUUAAUACAACGUGUGGUAGGUGGAUAAGAAAAAAGUUAUUCAUGUAUAAAAUUAAUAUGUCGGUUGGUUAGAAUAACAUACCUAAUAUUCAUAUUACAAGUUCAUUUAGAAUUGUGGAGAUGAAUGUUAGCUUGUGAAUCUAGAUGAUGUUGUCCUACGAUUUAAUUGACAGGGUGGAGUAACAUUGCAUAUCUUUUUUGGUAUUACGUGAAUUCAACAGUGGCAAAUGCACCUCUGAUUAAGAAUGAAGGAUUCUAAACACUCCAAAUCUUUUGUGUCUACCGCGGUUGCAUAUUAUUGACCUAACGACUAUGGUGGGGAUCAUGUCACUACCCAAAUUCCAAAGCUAGGACUAACACCUAGCAAGCCACAACCCGCUAGGAGAACCAUUGCAUUCAAUCACCAAACUCAAAUUAAAGUCUGAAUUCUCAUUCAUCCCACCACAGCCCGAGACCUCCUAAGAGACUUUAAGCAUAAUCAUACUUUUUGACAUAUUUUUGUUGGACAGGUUGAAGUAAUAGGUUGAAAGACGAAUCAAAUAGCUAGAUCUAGAUUUAGAAAUUCCAAGAUUAUUAAAAUAUAAUUCAUCGACUUCUCAGGUCUUUUAAAUACCUAAAGUGCUCAGUGUUGGAUGGAAUUCAUCGACAUCACCAAACGUACAAAAAUUGAGAGCUGGAUGGAAUCUGUUGAAAAAAAAAAAAACAAGUGGUUGCCAUUUUAUAUAACAUUGAGUGUAGAUCCAUUUCCACUACAAGAAUCAGAAUAUUGAACAGUCAGUAUAUUUGGUUUCUCUGCAGCAAAAUUGUAUAAGAACAUGAUCAAAAGAAGAGAAAAAUCCUUCUGUUAUAUCUUUAGAGUCAUAAUGAAAAAUGAAAUCCCUAAGAGACUUUGAAGAUAGAUCUUACCUUAUCACAGUCUGAAGUUUAGCAAUAUUAGAAUCCGUACGUUGUUUGAGUUGAAGAGUGACAAAGUGAGCAAAAUGAUUUUGCUAAGUGUAAAGGUCAACAAUAGAAAGAAGCUGGAUCUACAUCUUCGGAAGUUAUACAUAUUCGUUAAUCAAUUGUUAAUUCUGCUCCUUUGUCUGAAUGCUUGCUUUUAGAUGCAGAAUGAAUUAUUAAAAUACAAUUCAUAGUCUUUUUUAAUCAGUUAUUUGCAGUCUCUUGUCUUGACCUGUAAAUUGUAAUCUAAUACAACC